GCAGAUAGCGACGCGCCGAACGUUAGUUGAAACCGUAUACCGCGCCCUUACGGCCGUAACAGCCUUCCGACGAAUACAGUGAAAUCAUAAUGGGAUAUAUUCGACUCUAGCAAACAAAAAUAAGAAAUGAAGCAAACUCGUGCUAGUGACUGCUGAUUUAAGAACUUAUAAUUACAACGGGGGAACAAAUCGCCGGGGAGCAAACAAGCAAAGAUGUCGCCAGUCCUGUCAACGCAGCUGCGAUGGCGGCGCGAUGCGGAAGUGACCUCCGAAAAACCCGCUUCAAAUGGCACUACACCCUCGCCCGUCUUAACAUCGUCGAAUCCUGUGACCUCCACGAAUGCGGCUGGUUCAUCAGAGAUGCCGCCGCCUGCAACAACCACCCAGGAGUCGAUUGUUGAAAAGACCGCUGAAAUUGCCCACAAGAUGAAUAUGGAGACAUGGCAGUUAGUAGCUAUUCUUGUCGGUGUGGCUGUUGUGGUGCUCGGUAUUUGCUUCUGUUGUAUUCGACGAUGUUUCCGCAAACGACGUUCCAAGGAUGGCAAGAAAGGCAUGAAGGGAGUCGACUUCAAGUCCGUCCAACUAUUAGGUUCAGCUUACAAAGAAAAGGUUCAGCCGGACAUGGAGGAGCUCACAGAGAACGCUGAAGAACCUGAUGACGGAGAAGAGAAGAAAGAGGAACAGAAAUUAGGAAAACUACAGUACAAGCUGGAAUAUGACUUCAACAGUAACAGUCUAUCAGUCACUGUUAUACAAGCGGAAGAGCUACCUGCUUUGGAUAUGGGAGGGACAUCUGAUCCUUACGUAAAAGUUUACCUCUUGCCAGACAAGAAGAAGAAGUUUGAAACCAAAGUACAUAGAAAAACUUUGAACCCGGUAUUCAACGAAACGUUCGUUUUCAAGAGCGUGCCGUAUGCUGAUGCGAUGAACAAAACUCUCGUUUUCGCUAUCUUCGACUUUGAUCGAUUCUCCAAGCACGACCAGAUCGGAGAGGUGAAGGUACCUCUGUGUCAGGUGGACCUCGCGCAGACCAUUGAGGAGUGGCGCGAGUUGCAGAGUGUUGAGGGUGAAGGAGGACAGGAUAACAAGCUGGGAGAUAUUUGUUUCUCCCUGCGUUAUGUACCAACCGCUGGAAAACUGACCGUUGUUAUUUUGGAGGCUAAGAAUUUAAAGAAAAUGGACGUUGGUGGUUUGUCAGAUCCGUACGUAAAGAUAGCACUCAUGCAAAAUGGCAAACGUCUCAAGAAGAAGAAAACGAGCAUCAAGAAAUGCACACUGAAUCCAUAUUACAACGAGUCAUUUACUUUUGAAGUACCAUUCGAACAAAUACAGGAACCCUGCUUCUUGUUCUUCUUGUGGAUCUUUUAUCAAUUUCAUAAUCACAUAUUUCCUUAUCUCAAACCUCUUAAUAUCCUCACUCCUUACACCUAUGUCAUUAUCAGUAGAUUUGAAGGUAAGUGUUUACGUCAUGUGUCAAGUAAGAUAAAAGUGUUUGUAAAUAAAAGAAAUAAUAAGCUCUGAAAACUGAUAGUAUCAAUAUUAUCUAUAUCUUUAGGACUGAUUAAUUCAGUAUUUAUGUUUUAUUUGAUAUUAAAAAUGUUGUUCGCCUUCUAGAAAUAUUUUAAUACAACAUACACGGACACUUAAAUGAGGAAUGACGCUAUUUUAAUUCAUAGUUCCCAUAUAAUUAGUUUAGUAUACCCUGCCAUUUCAUAAAAACAUAACGCUUUCAAUAGGCAUAACGCUAAUCAUGUUAAUUCACUCACACCAACUAAAUAUAUUUAAUUGACUACUAACAAAACAAAACAACAGAAGGUGAAUUUAGUCGUAACUGUGGUGGACUACGAUCGCAUCGGCACAUCUGAACCGAUUGGUAAGGUUGUGCUGGGAUACAACGCGUCAGGAACCGAGCUUCGUCAUUGGUCCGACAUGCUGGCCAGCCCGCGUCGCCCAAUCGCGCAAUGGCACACGCUCAAAGAUCCCGAAGAUGGAGAAAAGAAGGAUUAAAAGGCGGUAACAAAACUCUUACAUCGAGGAAGAUCUAUGAAGAAUCAACGCCUUACUCAUUCAAGAGAGAUUUAAUUUUGACGUCUAUCUAUCUAUUGUUUUUUUUUUGCAGUUGUAAUAGACAUAUUAGAUUAUUUUUGAAGAAAAAUUAAUUUCAAAUCUACCUAAUGUUGGAUAUAAAAACAAAUUUAAAAUAUUUCGAUGCAUCGUGUAAGGAGGAUUUACUUUAUAAAUUUUUACAACAGCUUUGAGGAAACCCACAAAUAUAUUUUAAUAAAAUAGUUUUCAUUCUUGAUUAAAAUACCCGUUUUGUUAAAAAUUGUUUCUUCCUAUAUUCAUUUAAAGCUACAUACCUAAAUGUUAUAUUAAAACUAUGUAAAUAAUUUGAGUCCUGUUAAAUUUAUUACAUUCUAUUUUAAUACCAUGUAAGUGUUAUGAAUUCGAUACAUUAUAAGUAAAUUAUAGGUUCCUCUAAAGAAGAGUUGUUUUAAAACUGUAGAUAAUUGUUCUUUUUUGUCGUUUUUUUAUGUUUUCCUAUCGUCUUUAGAGGGACUAUUGGCCUACCUUGGUAUCUAUCUAUUAUAAUAUUCUGUUUUUCAUGACAAUUACUGCAAUUUAACCUAGAACUAUGGAAUUUUCAUGAAAUUUUUUUUUCAAUGAAUGUAAAUCUCCUUAAAAGGCGCAUAUUUAUUGCCAAGCGCUAGUUACUCCAAGCUGUUGAUCAACGACUUGUUUUCUGCGUUAAAUAUUAUAAUGUAGAAGAAUAAUUUAUUAUAUCUAAAUUAUUAUUGUAAUAUACACUCGUAAUAAUAACUAUAUUUAUCACGAUAUUAGUAGAGUUUGUAUAUCUUGUUGCUAAAUAUGUUUGCUCCGAUAUUUUCAAACAAUGUUAAAAAUUAUAGUCCUUCUAAGUAAUGUCAAUAGAGGAUUAGAACCUAAGUAAUUCUAUUAAAUAUAUUAUAACUGUUAAAUUAUAUUUUUUCUUAUAUUUACUAAAAGAAAUAUAUCUUAAAGUAAAAAUUAUAUAAUCAUGCUACAAAAUUUGGAAUAGAUAAUGUUUGUUUUUUUUUUUUUCGUUUGUUGUAAAAAAAAAAAAGUUAGUAAUUAGAAUAUUUAAAGCCCUCUAAUUUUGGUGUGACAAAUAUAAUCUAUACAUUAGCUAUUUGCUUGACUGUUGUUGAUCUCAAACAUGUAUGUUAUUGAUGUAUAUAAUGUAAUCACAUGUUAAAUUUCACCAUCACUGAAGUAGGAGUAAAAGUGUCAGGCUUCAAGUAUGUAAGUGCACUAACACAAAAACAAGUAGACUUGACGAUUGAAUACUGUAUUAAUCAAUAAAUAGUUACGUUAAAUAUAGUUUUUAUAGGGUAAUGCUACAGUGUAACUGCAAUUUUGGUAGAUUUAUGAAAAGGCAAGUGCUCCCAUUGAUCGGUAAACACCCUGACAGGUAACAUACUAAUGACAAUAUAAAAGGAUGCUGCUGUUUAUUGUAUAAUGUGAUUAAAAAUGAAUUCCUAAAUUAUGUUGUUGCUGCAACCUUUGUUUUUAAUAUGUCACAAAUAUAAUAUUAUUUAUUUCUCAAUGGCAAUGAUUUUCAAAAUAUAAUAUGUAAAUUUUAAAAAAUUUCUUUUGAAAAAUUGUCAGUAUAACUCACAUGUACAUAAUGUUUGAUAAAGUAAUCAUCAAAACAUCAUAUCACUUGCCAGUUAAAAAGUUAUUCAUGAGUUUUAUAACUUUAAAUAGAUGUCUUUUAGUGAUUAUUAUUUAAUAGUUUAUUGUAAUGUAUUACAAAAAUCGUGAAAAAUUCUAUAAUACAAAAUAAAAUAGAA